rnacentral:rRNA from 1 species
AACGAACGCUGGCGGCAUGCCUAACACAUGCAAGUCGAACGAGACCUUCGGGACUAGUGGCGCACGGGUGCGUAACGCGUGGGAACCGGCCCUUAGGCUCGGAAUAACUCUUCGAAAGGGGUGCUAAUACCGGAUAAUGUAUGCGGACCAAAGAUACAUCGUAUGUGGAUGGGCACGCGUUGGAUUAGCUAGUUGGUAGGGUAGAAGCCUACGAAGGCGACGAUCGUUAGCUGGUCAGAGGGGGAGAAACGCUACACUGGGUGGGAGACACGGCACCGACUCUGACGGUAGGCCGCGGUGGGGACUCUUGGGCGAUGGGGGAGAGCGUGAUCCAGCACUACCGCCUGAGUGAUGAAGGACCUCGGGUUGUAAAGCCCUGUUGUCCGGAAAGAAGAGCAGCACGUUAAUACGCGAUGGUACUGACGGUACCCAAAGAAUAAGCACCGGCUAACUCCGUG